rnacentral:rRNA from 1 species
AGUCGAACGAGAAAGUUCCUUCGGGGAUGAGUAGAGUGGCGCACGGGUGAGUAACGCGUGGAUAAUCUACCGGGGAGUGGGGAAUAACAGUUGGAAACGGCUGCUAAUACCGCACACGCUGCAUAUAUGUCUAUGCAGGAAAGGGGGCCUCUGCAUAUGCUUCCGCUUUUCGAUGAGUCCGCGUCCCAUUAGCUUGUUGGCGGGGUAACGGCCCACCAAGGCGACGAUGGGUAGCUGGUCUGAGAGGAUGACCAGCCACACUGGGACUGGAACACGGCCCAGACUCCUACGGGAGGCAGCAGUGGGGAAUAUUGCGCAAUGGGCGAAAGCCUGACGCAGCGACGCCGCGUGAGGGAUGAAGGUUUUCGGAUCGUAAACCUCUGUCAGAAGGGAAGAAGUUGCAUGGGGCCAAUCACCUGUGCAUUGACGGUACCUUCAAAGGAAGCACCGGCUAACUCCGUGCCAGCAGCCGCGGUAAUACGGAGGGUGCGAGCGUUAAUCGGAAUUACUGGGCGUAAAGCGCACGUAGGCUGUAUGUCAAGUCAAGGGUGAAAUCCCACGGCUCAACCGUGGAACUGCCUUUGAAACUGGCAAACUGGAGUAUGUGAGAGGGCGGCGGAAUUCCUGGUGUAGGAGUGAAAUCCGUAGAUAUCAGGAGGAACAUCAGUGGCGAAGGCGGCCGCCUGGCACAAAACUGACGCUGAGGUGCGAAAGCGUGGGUAGCAAACAGGAUUAGAUACCCUGGUAGUCCACGCUGUAAACGAUGGAUACUGGGUGUUGGGUUUUAUUGACUCGGCGCC